AUUGAACGCUGGCGGCAGGCCUAACACAUGCAAGUCGAACGAGUGGCGGACGGGUGAGUAGUGUCUGGGAAACUGCCUGAUGGAGGGGGAUAACGACGGGAAACGGUGGCUAAUACCGCAUAACAUCAGAUGUGGCCAGGUGGGAUUAGCUAGUUGGUGGGGUAACGGCUCACGAAGGCGACGAGCCCUAGCUGGUCUGAGAGGAUGACCAGCCACACUGGAACUGAGACACGGUCCAGACUCCUACGGGAGGCAGCAGUGGGGAAUAUUCGCCAAUGGGCGCAAGCCUGAUGCAGCCAUGCCGCGUGGAUGAAGAAGGCUUUCGGGUUGUAAAGUACUGUCAGCGGGGAGGCGUUACCCGCCGAAGAAGCACCGGCUAACUCCGUGCCAGCCGCCGCGGUAAUUC
rnacentral:rRNA from 1 species